UUAGCUCAGCCGGACAGAGCAAUUGCCUUCUAAGCAAUCGGUCACUGGUUCGAAUCCAGUA
rnacentral:tRNA from 1 species